rnacentral:rRNA from 1 species
AUUGAACGCUGGCGGCAUGCUUUACACAUGCAAGUCGAACGGCAGCACGGGCUUCGGCCUGGUGGCGAGUGGCGAACGGGUGAGUAAUAUAUCGGAACGUACCCAGAAGUGGGGGAUAACGUAGCGAAAGUUACGCUAAUACCGCAUACGAUCUAUGGAUGAAAGCAGCGGACCGCAAGGCCUUGUGCUCCUGGAGCGGCCGAUAUCUGAUUAGCUAGUUGGUGAGGUAAAGGCUCACCAAGGCGACGAUCAGUAGCUGGUCUGAGAGGACGACCAGCCACACUGGAACUGAGACACGGUCCAGACUCCUACGGGAGGCAGCAGUGGGGAAUUUUGGACAAUGGGCGCAAGCCUGAUCCAGCAAUGCCGCGUGAGUGAAGAAGGCCUUCGGGUUGUAAAGCUCUUUUGUCAGGGAAGAAACGGUAGAGGCUAAUAUCCUUUGCUAAUGACGGUACCUGAAGAAUAAGCACCGGCUAACUACGUG